rnacentral:rRNA from 1 species
CCAGCUUGCUGGGUGGAUUAGUGGCGAACGGGUGAGUAACACGUGAGUAACCUGCCCCCGACUCUGGGAUAAGCCCGGGAAACUGGGUCUAAUACCGGAUAUGACUGAUAAUCGCAUGGUUUGUGGUGGAAAGAUUUAUCGGUGGGGGAUGGACUCGCGGCCUAUCAGCUUGUUGGUGAGGUAAUGGCUCACCAAGGCGACGACGGGUAGCCGGCCUGAGAGGGUGACCGGCCACACUGGGACUGAGACACGGCCCAGACUCCUACGGGAGGCAGCAGUGGGGAAUAUUGCACAAUGGGCGAAAGCCUGAUGCAGCGACGCCGCGUGAGGGAUGACGGCCUUCGGGUUGUAAACCUCUUUCAGUAGGGAAGAAGCGAAAGUGACGGUACCUGCAGAAGAAGCGCCGGCUAACUACGUGCCAGCAGCCGCGGUAAUACGUAGGGCGCAAGCGUUAUCCGGAUUUAUUGGGCGUAAAGAGCUCGUAGGCGGUUUGUCGCGUCUGCCGUGAAAGUCCGAGGCUCAACCUCGGAUCUGCGGUGGGUACGGGCAGACUAGAGUGAUGUAGGGGAGACUGGAAUUCCUGGUGUAGCGGUGAAAUGCGCAGAUAUCAGGAGGAACACCGAUGGCGAAGGCAGGUCUCUGGGCAUUUACUGACGCUGAGGAGCGAAAGCAUGGGGAGCGAA